rnacentral:rRNA from 1 species
GAGACAGUUCGGUCUCUAUCUGUUGUGGGCGUUUGAAACUUGAGCGGACCUGACCCUAGUACGAGAGGACCGGGUUGGACAUACCUCUGGUGUAUCUGUUGUGGCGCCAGCUGCACUGCAGAGUAGCUACGUAUGGAUGAGAUAAGCACUGAAAGCAUCUAAGUGCGAAACUCACCGCGAGAUGAGGUUUCAUUGAGGGUCGUUGUAGACGACAACGUUGAUAGGCCGCAGGUGUAAAGGCAGUGAUGUCAAAGCCGAGCGGUACUAAUUGCCCGAAAGCUUAUC